rnacentral:lncRNA from 1 species
AGUGAUCAGUAUCUUUAUUCAUACACGCUUGCUUCCGAACUACAAUGAAUGCAUCUAACAGAGCGAAUCAUGCAAACGAAGAGUAGAGGUUACACAAAUCCAAAAAAGCUAGGCGCUAAUUUACAUAUCUACCUCACCUGCUAGGUAACCAAACAAGCAGCGGAACAGCCCCUGGCUUAUCAGUAAAGGCCUGUUCAGGCAACAGCUUCAACCUUCACUCCUUCCUCCAAACCAAUUUGGGGUUUUGCAUGAUUUUUUUUUCAAUAAGAGAUUUAAACACGGCGUGUCCUUCAUAAAACAAAACAGAAUUCAUGUAGGAAACGCAACUCCAAACGCAUCUGAUCAUCUAUAAAAGGUAUUCUGAAAAACCGUCAUAGUCAGGAUAGGAGGUUGAUUCUUAGAAAAACCUUUAGCCUCAAAAUAGUAACCACCUUCAUGUAUAACUUUUAAUAGUUUACUAAACCUCCCAAGGAGAGAGUCACAUUUUUCCAGGCAAAAUAUUAACAAAAAUCUACAAACAUUGAUCACAGAAUAGUCUUAAAAUUAAGCAGGAGACAAAAGACAGUGUUGUUUAAUCAGAAAGUGCAAAGCCACCUUUUGUCAUAGUUUAGAAAAAAGGGGUUCUUACAAAGUGGGCUGGAUGGGUGUUUUCUCAAAAGUAGGGUUCUGUCUACGCACAUCCAUGGAAAUGGAAGCUGAUGCCUCCGGCAUACUUGAUGCUGCCUCUUCUUGGGAGAGUAGGUUUUAAUUUGCCCAAUGGGCAUAAUCCUUACAGAGCAUCUCUCAAUGUUUAUCCAGUGUGAGAGACUGAGGGGCCAGAAGCAACUUGAGACAGAGUUGAAGAAGCACCCCCUUCUUGCUCUGACUCUUACAGUAUAGAGUGGGCUCCUCUAGCUCCCCAAGAAUGCUUUCCUAGGGCUGUGUCAGGAAUGGGGGGUAUAAAGCCAUCAUCCCUACAGUUGAAAGAGAGCUAAACCUUAGGCAGCUAUCUUUAGCAUCUACUAAGAAAGAGAAUACCGUCCGGCAGCCAAUCCAAUGUGGACUCCAGACCUCACUGGCAUGGAAAAAUCCUGCCGUGGGGAUUCAGAUCAUGGGUACUCUAUCCAACCUGGGUGAAAACCUCCUAUAGGCUCCAUGGUAUUGGAAUUUUAUGAAAUUUUUACUAUUUUAAAAACUCACUUGAAAAGAAUUGUUAUUAAAGUCCUCUAUAAAAAAGUACAAAUAGCCCAGGAUACUCAGGUCUUCUAAUGGAGUUAAUAAUUACUUGUUUUAGGUUAAAAAAAAGUCUUUGGAACUUGUGGGCUUCCGGGGGAGGGUCACAGUAAGGCUGUUUAAUGACUUGGUGUGUCUUUUGUGUUUAUUGACUGACACCUGACCACAUGAAUGAGGGGUACAGAAUGCUGAGCCAUCCACGCUUUUUAAUCAUUACUGUAGUGUCACUGGGGCAGUGGUAGACACCGUUUCUAGAACACUGCAUCUGUGCAUGCCUCAAGCAUCCUUCCCUGAUUCUCUGGAUUACUCUGACAGGAGAAAGUAACAGCUUUUUCUAGAUUUGCUGCACUGGCCCAAUGAGAUGUGGCAGGGGUGUUGACUGUCCAGCAUAGUUUGUUAACAGCAGUUCAUGGAAAAACAAUUUUAAAACCAGUCUCCUAACACUCUGUCAUAUCAGUGUGGACCCAUUGCUAAUCAGAGGAUCCAUCUCCUUUCUUGCUAUUGUCCCCUCUCUUUCAUGGUUAGCAUCCUUUCAGGUCCCUGGCUCAGCACGUAUCUCCUGAGCAUGGUUGUUUGAUGUGCUCAGACGUGGUGUGGGGACAGGUACCCCUGCGCUUCUGGGGUUGUAAACAAACAGGAAACAGUGUGACAUGUACACAAGAGAAGUAGGUGAUUUCAUGAGACCAAGGUGAGAAAAUGACUGUCAGGUGGUGUUGCCUUGCAGAGGUAUUUGAGAAAAUAAAGCUCUGCACAAACCC